CGUUAAGAAGCUUUCAGAGCCAAGCGCCAGCCUUUUAAGCUGGAGAGGGUGAAUCUCGACCACCCUUAAUGA
rnacentral:tRNA from 1 species